GUAACAUAAUAAAAUAAAUUUGAUUUUUAUUUUGAAAAGUUCCGCUCUUUUUAUAUCCUGACCUUUGCUGUUCAUGAUAAUAGCAUCACAUGUUCGUCUGGCGUAGCUGCCAUCCUUUGCCAUUGACGCGUCCGUAUUGUGCGUUACAACCUACCUGAUGUACCUGAGCUUUAAAUAAACUCCACCGCCAAACAGCAUCACUUCGACCGUUAUUGUUGGAGCGACCACCAAACCAACGUCUACGGACGAAGACAUGGUGGACUCAAGACUACCGGAAGCGGCUACGACGUUUGCUGUGACAAUACACAUUAAGAACGUGAUGAGGAAUUUGUACCAGUUCCGAGCUAAUCCCACACCAACUGGAAAUUUACGUUGCUUUUGCUUCUAGCAUACAAUGGAAUUUACCUUUACCUGGACGUAAUAAACGUUUGAUUUUAGAACUCUUCCGAAAUUUUUAGCGUGGCUGCAGUGGUUUAGCUGGUUUCGAUAUGGAAAUGAAAUUCUGGGCAUUGUCCACUGGAAGGACGUUCAUAACAUCACUUGCAAUGGGAAGCUGGGACAUCGUGUAUAAAGACAGGAGCGGAGGUCAUGCAUGACUUUGAGUAUGACCCGGACAAACUAGAGCUGGAUUUGGGCAUGGUAUGCGUUGUAUUUGCCGGAUUCCAUAUACUAGGGUGCCUGUUUCUAUUUUUGCGAAAUCGUCGGUAAAGGUUGUUCUUACUGCUUGCUGUUCACAUGUAUCUGUACUGUCAUAAGUGUCAUUAGAACGUUGCCCUUCUGGAAGCAAAAAAUUGUCUGAAAAUUUAUUAAUUAUCACGGUACGAUAUGCUCGUAUAAUGUCGAAUACUGGCUUUCUGAGUGAUUUUUAUUUCAGUAAAUCACUUUGUAUGAGUUGUACAAAGCAUCCAUCGCAUGUAUGUUUGUGUCAACUUUGUUCUUAUCAGACAGUUGCCAAUGCAUAUUCGGUUGCCAAUAAAAAACAGCGCAGCUCG